rnacentral:misc_RNA from 1 species
GAUGAAGAACGUAGCGAAAUGCGAUAAGUAAUGUGAAUUGCAGAAUUCAGUGAAUCAUCGAGUCUUUGAACGCACAUUGCGCCCGCCAGUAUUCUGGCGGGCAUGCCUGUCCGAGCGUCAUUUCAACCCUCAAGCCCCCGGGCUUGGUGUUGGAGAUCGGCGAGCCCCCCGGGGCGCGCCGUCUCCCAAAUAUAGUGGCGGUCCCGCUGUAGCUUCCUCUGCGUAGUAGCACACCUCGCACUGGGAAACAGCGUGGCCACGCCGUAAAACCCCCCACUUCUGAAAGGUUGACCUCGGAUCAGGUAGGAAUACCCGCUGAACUUAAGCAUAUCAAUAAGCGGAGGA